GACGAACGCUGGCGGCGUGCUUAACACAUGCAAGUCGAACGGAAAGGCCCUGCUUUUGUGGGGUGCUCGAGUGGCGAACGGGUGAGUAACACGUGAGUAACCUGCCCUUGACUUUGGGAUAACUUCAGGAAACUGGGGCUAAUACCGGAUAGGAGCUCCUGCUGCAUGGUGGGGGUUGGAAAGUUUCGGCGGUUGGGGAUGGACUCGCGGCUUAUCAGCUUGUUGGUGGGGUAGUGGCUUACCAAGGCUUUGACGGGUAGCCGGCCUGAGAGGGUGACCGGCCACAUUGGGACUGAGAUACGGCCCAGACGCCUACGGGAGGCAGCAGUGGGGAACAUUGCACAAUGGGCGGAAGCCUGAUGCAGCAACGCCGCGUGCGGGAUGACGGCCUUCGGGUUGUAAACCGCUUUCGCCUGUGACGAAGCGUGAGUGACGGUAAUGGGUAAAGAAGCACCGGCUAACUACGUG
rnacentral:rRNA from 1 species